rnacentral:rRNA from 1 species
UAGGGAAUCUUCCACAAUGGGCGAAAGCCUGAUGGAGCAACGCCGCGUGUGUGAUGAAGGGUUUCGGCUCGUAAAACACUGUUGUAAGAGAAGAAUGACAUUGAGAGUAACUGUUCAAUGUGUGACGGUAUCUUACCAGAAAGGAACGGCUAAAUACGUGCCGG